GCGCGUUCUCAGGGCGGGGUGAAAGUCCCCACCGGCGGUAAAGGCAAGGCCGUGAGGCCAGGUACGAGCCCGCGGGCGCUCCUUGGACCCCAUGUCCGGGGAGGCAGCAGACACCGGUUGGAUUCCGGGGCCGACGGUUAGAGUCCGGUUAUGAGAACCACU
rnacentral:ncRNA from 1 species